rfam:Gorilla gorilla gorilla genomic chromosome, chr7, whole genome shotgun sequence
AUCCUUUUGUAGUUUGUAAGUGUGAUGAUUGGGGUUUCAUGCUCAUGUGUGAGACGUGCCUCCCUCAAACCUUGUUAUGUCAGCACAUUACCCAUCUGAUG